ACGGGUGCGUAACGCGUGGGAAUCUGCCCCUCGGUUCGGAAUAACAGUUAGAAAUGACUGCUAAUACCGGAUGAUGACUUCGGUCCAAAGAUUUAUCGCCGAGGGAUGAGCCCGCGUAAGAUUAGGUAGUUGGUGGGGUAAAGGCCUACCAAGCCGACGAUCUUUAGCUGGUCUGAGAGGAUGAUCAGCCACACUGGGACUGAGACACGGCCCAGACUCCUACGGGAGGCAGCAGUGGGGAAUAUUGGACAAUGGGCGAAAGCCUGAUCCAGCAAUGCCGCGUGAGUGAUGAAGGCCUUAGGGUUGUAAAGCUCUUUUACCCGGGAUGAUAAUGACAGUACCGGGAGAAUAAGCCCCGGCUAACUCCGUGCCAGCAGCCGCGGUAAUACGGAGGGGGCUAGCGUUGUUCGGAAUUACUGGGCGUAAAGCGCACGUAGGCGGCGACUCAAGUCAGAGGUGAAAGCCCGGGGCUCAACCCCGGAACUGCCUUUGAAACUAGGUUGCUAGAAUCUUGGAGAGGUCAGUGGAAUUCCGAGUGUAGAGGUGAAAUUCGUAGA
rnacentral:rRNA from 1 species